rnacentral:rRNA from 1 species
AUUGAACGCUGGCGGCAUGCUUUAUACAUGCAAGUCGUGCGGCAGCGCGGGGGCAACCCUGGCGGCGAGCGGCGAACGGGUGAGUAAUACAUAGGAACGUAUCCUGAAAUGGGGGAUAGCUCGGCGAAAGCCGGAUUAAUACCGCAUACGCUCCACGGAGGAAAGCAGGGGAUCGCAAGACCUUGCGUUUCUGGAGCGGCCUAUGUCUGAUUAGCUAGUUGGCGGGGUAAUAGCCCACCAAGGCGACGAUCAGUAGCUGGUCUGAGAGGAUGAUCAGCCACACUGGGACUGAGACACGGCCCAGACUCCUACGGGAGGCAGCAGUAGGGUAA